ensembl:lncRNA uncharacterized LOC103102034
CCCUGUGUAGAACCUCCCUCCACCUCUCUGAAGUGGAGAAGAGAGUCCCAUGAGCCUGUAGCAGUCUAACAAGAGCUGGUGAGAAGAGUGAGGGGCUUCUACAGGAAGAAGACUUAAGUUUAGCAACUUCCUCAUCUCUUUGCUUACUUUGAGCUGGUUUCUGCUGCCAGAGGCUCAAACUCACUCAGCCGUUUUAGAGUGGAUCCUCUAUUAAGCCACGGCUGAUAUUUACACAUAUUUUCCCUUUUUAAAACAUGCAUCAGUUAUAUUUUUGGUGAGCACCCUAUGUGUGUGGGAAGGAUGCCUUCUGGAAGAAAGUUCCUCUACUUCAAGGGACCUUCAUUUUUAUCCAUGACUUUGGUAGUCCUGCAUUUUAAUGCCACCAAGAAUCUGAAUCCUCCAGCAGCUGUCUACUUCAGAUCCCUUGAACUCUUGUGCAUUUUCAGGAUGUCCAUUCUCUCUAUCCCUGAAUUGAUGCCAAAUGAAAACACUCCAUGUGCUGGAAUUUCUCUUUGAGGUAACAAAAUCUGAGGUCAUUCUUCUCCAGUGAUAAUUCAUUUAACUAAACCAAAAUUAAACCUCACUAGUCUCCCUAAUCUGAUUUAUGCCUUCAUCUCACAAAAAUCAUGAAUGUUUUCUACAAAUUCUUUUUUCAAAAAAUUCUAAUUCAAUUCACUUUCAUUUUGUUUUUCAUUUUGUUAAUCAUGAGAUGUUCCUUGGAGCUUCAUGAGCACCCCUGGUUGGACGGUCUUUGGAGGAAAGCUGUUUGGUGGUGGGAUGCAGGUCUAAGGAAAUGGUGGUUUGGGUGUUGAAGUUAUCCUUAAAGCAGUCAGGCAUUGAAGAGCGGACUAAGCACCACCCAGUAGUCAUGACAUUAGCAUAUUAGUCACUCCCAGUCACAACAAAGGGUUGUGUUUGGGCUCUUAAUUGAGCCACCCUAACAGGCCUUGUAAUUGAGCCACCCUGACAGGCCUUGUAAUUGAGCCACCCUGACAGGCCUCUUGAUUGAGUCACCCUGAAAGGCCUUGUAAUUGAGCCACUCUGACAGUCCCCUUUCUGGAGUCACUACUGUUCCAGCCUUAGUAUUUAAGAGAGGCUUCUACCCGGGUUCUAAGCGAAGCUGUGGACAGACAUCUCUGGUGUGAGUCACUUUGGAAAGUACCCUGACUCCGAGUAUUAAACUAGAGGAAGUGGAGACUGUUGACUGGCAACUGAGAGCUAGAAGGUGAAUCAGACCAGUGUCGCAGCUCCGUGUCCUGGGCUCUCAGAGGAGGGGCCCGCCCAGCCUUGUGACGUGGUGCAGACGAGCAUUGCAGCCUGUCCCAACAUGCUCAGGACACUGGCUAGGCUCAUGCUUUCUCAAGUGAGGAUAGUUGGUGUUCAGAUAACGUUUGACAGGUCUCAGCCAAUGUUGACCUUCAGCUUUUCCCUGUGGGGCUUUCCCCUCACACUGCAAGUCCUUUUGGGUCCUGCAGAUCAAUCUGGGAACAACUCCAACCUACCACAAACUGAAGAGAAUUAAGCGACCUCAGUUUAGAUUUUUGACAGUCAACGCCCCGCCCAGACUGCCUGUUGUCUAGUCACCUCACACAUAUCUUCCUCUAUCCUAAGCCAUUAGAGUUUGGCUGUUAUGCAAUACACGGCGCAGGGAAGAAGAAGUAAUGACUUCCUUGGAGCAACAUGGCUGAAUAUACUCCGGAGUAUUACAGAUUCCUGGUUCCAAAGGAAAGGUCCCUCAACUGGGGAAUCCUUACAGAAAUUUUCAUCCCAAGCAUCAGGCCAUUCUACUGUGCUAUGAUGAAUGAAUGAAACCAUAUCGAUAUCUAUCUCCCACCUUGUCAAAGAAAAGACUUAACAUAGCCCUCUGAACAGCGUGGAAGUGCACAUUGGAAUGAAGAGAAAAUGGAGAACUGGGAAAAGCACACAUCUAACUAGCCGGCCUGUGUAAAUGGAGGGAAACAGGCAAGCCAGGAUUUUGAGAAACUCCUCAGCCAAGAAGCUUUAGAGUGGGCUUGGAGCAGAAUGGUAUGAAUAAAAUGACUGGCUUCAUUCUUUGUGUGUAAGUU